UCAGGACGAACGCUGGCGGCGUGCUUAACACAUGCAAGUCGAGCGGAAAGGCUCCUUCGGGGGUACUCGAGCGGCGAACGGGUGAGUAACACGUGAGUAAUCUGCCCUGUGCUCUGGGAUAGCCACCGGAAACGGUGAUUAAUACCGGAUAUAACCACUAUAGGCAUCUAUUGGUGGUGGAAAGUUUUUUCGGCACAGGAUGUGCUCGCGGCCUAUCAGCUUGUUGGUGAGGUAAUGGCUCACCAAGGCUUUGACGGGUAGCCGGCCUGAGAGGGUGACCGGUCACACUGGGACUGAGACACGGCCCAGACUCCUACGGGAGGCAGCAGUGGGGAAUAUUGGACAAUGGGCGGAAGCCUGAUCCAGCAACGCCGCGUGAGGGAUGACGGCCUUCGGGUUGUAAACCUCUUUCAGUACCGACGAAGCGCAAGUG
rnacentral:rRNA from 1 species